GCAGAAAAUUGUUAAUAAUUUGGCAUAUAUUCAAUAGCACUGAGGAGAAACUUUCCCCAUGUCUGUCAAUUUAACAUUAACACAAGAAGCUUUAGCAAGUUCAUCUUCUUCAAGUCCAAGAAUGAUAUCCUGCAACAGAAUUCCUUGGCAAGGGAAGGUCUUGCUGCAAUCAAAUUUCAUGGCUACUUCUGAAGCACUUGUUCCUUGUAUGUUCCUGUACAUUACAUUGCUUACUUGCACAGCUGAUUUCUGCUCUUUGCAUGGAUCAUCUUGAUCACAAUAGUUUUGAUCAAUAAUUAUAGGAUUGGUCACAUUUUUCAUUAUAAGAUUUUGAAAUACUAUGUCUUUUGCAUAUCCAGACCCUCCCUGCCAAGUCUUAAUUCUGACCCCAUUAGUGGUUCCUGAAAAUGUUGCUCUAUUGACUAACACAUUAGAAACUUCAGCUUCUGAAUUAUCAGCUCCUAAGCUACCAAUACUUAUUCCAUGUCCUGGUCCACAUAUAAUAUCUGUGGCUUCAACAUAUCUGGACCCAUUGACUAUUGAUAUACAAUCAUCACCUGUUCUUAUGACAGAGUUUGUUAUUCUGAUGCUAUGGGUGCCAGUGACAUGAAUUCCAUCAGUGUUAGGGCUGUUCCCUGGUGCAGUCACAAGGAGAUUCAUAGCCUUGACAUUAAUACAUUUCUCAAAUCUGAGAUGCAUCUUUUGUGCAUUUUUGAACCACAGAUUGGAUACUAUCAAAUUCCUGGACUCAUUGAAAGUGACAGCGGUGGGUGCAACUUUACAGGGCAUGUCUUUGUUGAUUUUGCAGGAGUUUUCCCACCAUAUCCUGCCAUUGCCAUUGAUAAUGCCACCACCUUGAACUUUGAGAUUGUUUACAUUAUCAAAUACAAUCCAAUGUCUUCUAUCAUCUUCAUACUCACUCAUUUUAUUAGAAGCUUUUAUUGUUCCAUAAAUCUGGAAUAUAAGAUCAGAUUGACAAGGACCUAAAAAUGUGAUAGGUUUAAGGUGAUAAAUCCUGUUUGGAACAACAAUAGUAGCAGUUUGUUUGGAAGAACAAGCCUUGUCCCAUGCUUUGUUGAAUGCCUCACUAUCAUCUGUUCCAUCAGCCUUUGCUGCAAAAUCAUCCACAUUGAUCACUACUUUAUUUGAUGAACUUGUAGUAGUAGAAGUGCUUCUGUGCCUAACAAGCUUGGAAAAGCCAGAAUACACUGGCUUGGAGCUAAUUUUCUUGUCAAGUUCAGGAACAUCAGCAUAUGGGUUUUCUUGGUAAGUGCCAAAACAAGAAGUAAAGAAUGUUAACACAAGGAAAAGAAUGAGCACAUGCUUUGCUGGGUUUUGUGGGAUCAUUUUGUCUUCCACUAUACCUUCAAUCAAGGAGAUGAAGCAAACAAAAGGGAUGA
rnacentral:misc_RNA from 1 species